rnacentral:tRNA from 1 species
GACCUCAUAGUAAAAGGGAUAUUACAAAAUCCUCCUAAGAUUUAGUUCCAGGUUCGAGUCCUGGUGGGGUCACCA